rnacentral:rRNA from 1 species
UACGUAGGGUGCGAGCGUUGUCCGGAAUUAUUGGGCGUAAAGAGCUCGUAGGCGGUUUGUCGCGUCUGCUGUGAAAACUCGGGGCUUAACUCCGGGCCUGCAGUGGGUACGGGCAGACUAGAGUGCGGUAGGGGAGACUGGAAUUCCUGGUGUAGCGGUGGAAUGCGCAGAUAUCAGGAGGAACACCGGUGGCGAAAGCGGCUUCCUGGUCCAGCACCGACGUUCAGGCACGAAAGCGUGGGAGCAAACAGG